rnacentral:lncRNA from 1 species
GCAACCCCCACCGUCACCCAGCAGAGAAGCAGAGGGCUGCAGACACCCCCUCCUUCGUCGUCCUGCCCUCCUUCCGCUCGUCCAGCCACCUUCGUACUCGAGAACCCAUGGCAACAUGCAAAUCCCUAUGCCUCAGAGCCGUUGUUCGACUGAGCAAGAGAAAAGAUCAGCACAGAAGGCUGCAGGGUAAUCUUACACCGCUGAGACUGGCAAGGUGUGAAGACCGGCAGGUUAAGGGCAGACACUGCAAGAGUACCCAGGGGCUGAAGAAAUUGCAAGUGCUAGACAUCAAGAUGGCUUUGAGCAACCCUGUGGCCAGUGUCCUCAACAGUAGUUCUUACCACAAUGCAGAACCACCUUCUCCUGGGACUACAUCUUACAAAGUCUUUUGAUUACAAAUAGUGGCAUAAUGACAUUAGCUGAUAAUUCAGUGGCUACUGUGACACUGAUGUGGUGAUUAAACUAAUGAAAUAACAGAACAAGCUCACAUUUAGCAGUCUCUUGAUAUGAAAGACAAAGUCAUGCUGAGAAUCCAGUGUACUUUCAUUAACAUGAGUUUGUAUUGAUUCCUGCAUCAAAUAAACAGGUCCUCAGCCCAAGAUCUUUGCUGUCAACUAGCCAUUUGGAUUUAAGUGGAGGCAAUGGAGGGCAGUUAAAAAUGUGCAGAGGGAAGCUUUAGAAGGAGAAACUAUCAGAAAAUGUGUUUGGGGAUGUUCUCUGAACACAGUUUACCAGAGAAAGGUUAAGGAUUGGGUAGAGUAUCAUCUAGACCUCUUUAAGGACACGUAGCAAGUCUGCCGGGUCAUAAACACAAAUGUCUACAGGAGCCAGGCGGGUAUCAUCGCUGAGUGAACAGGCAGGAUGGGUGUCAGGAGGGAGGAGUGGAAUCAGCGAAGACCUCCUGAGCUUUAAGAA